UACGGGGGGAGCAAGCGUUGUUCGGAUUUACUGGGCGUAAAGGGCGCGUAGGCGGUCAGCACAAGUCAGUUGUGAAAUCUCCGGGCUUAACUCGGAAAGGUCAACUGAUACUGUGCGACUAGAGUGCGGAAGGGGCAACUGGAAUUCUCGGUGUAGCGGUGAAAUGCGUAGAUAUUGGGAAGAACACCGGUGGCGUAGGCGACUAGCUGGGCUGUAACUGACGCUGAGGAACGAAAGCCAGGGGAGCGAAUGGG
rnacentral:rRNA from 1 species